UUCCUUUGUAGACUAAUCCAA
rnacentral:miRNA from 1 species